UCUUCCUGGCAGGAAGUAAGUCAUGGUACAGCUUCUGACUGGCUGGCUGCUGGCCUCCGAAUUCCACGUGGCUGCCUCAGUCCCUUACACAGUAAGCGCUGUGCCUUUGUGUCGACAAGAGAACAAGAAAGCUCUUGCAGGAGGGAAGACUCAGAAGCCAGGAAAGCAGUCUGUCCAGUAAGUGACCAGUGACCUCUGUCUAACCGCUCCUCAGGCUGCCUUAGGGAGUGGGAAGAGCAGAGGCGUGCAGAAGCAUCCAACAGUGUGUCAUCAAGAGCACUUAGAACCCAGACAAGCUUCGUACGAAUGCACAGCACACAAGACGACCCGGGUGGGUGGCCACAACAGUCUGAACAUGGAUGUGGGGAAGGUGCCACUCUGGACAAGAAUAAUGAAAUAGUGGGUUUGAGAUACUGGACAGCAAAUGAAGGAAUUCCCUUCGCCCUCUUGCCAAGAAUUCUCUGGGGGACUGACAUCCUAAAUGACUUCCAUGUUCCUUCUUAGCAUUUUGACCCCAGGUCAAUUCUUUCUUACUCUGUUUCUAUUGCUCAAUCUUGUAUGACUUUUUUUUUUUUAAAUCCUUUUCUCUCACUAGAUCUCAGAUCACUUCACUGCAAUGCUUUUAAAAUCUCUUUCUCUUCCUAGGCCUUGGGUCACUUUUUAAAAACUCCCUUUUUUCUCCCUUGGUCUUGGCCAGGACAUAGAUCAUUAGACCGCUGAGUUUUCUCUGUGAAUCACUCAUAGAACAAGUGUUUGCUUAGCCAUGUCGUAAAAUAUCUCUCCACUUACAGCCACAAAGGAAUCUGUUGUAAACACAGAGAUCCUGACCUUCUUUCUUGUCUGAAGUCCCAGGAACGGCCAGUCGGAGAAAGACCUGGGGAAAGGAGAAAGGAAAUGGGGUGUUCCCAUACUCUCCAGCACAGGGCUCCUCUGGGUAGGUCUCAUUCCAUCCGUCUGGCUGGCCUCGUGAAACGUUCUAUUUUGUACCUUCUGGGGCUGCUGAAGAAGGCAGAGUGGAGAUUUAUAACAACCACUGUUCAUUCCAGCCCAAGCAGCUUGGCACCGUCCGGGGCUGUGUUCCUCAGCGCAGCUUUCCACAUUCCUGCCUGAGCUGAAACGCAUGACAAUUCCAGUUUGGAAACAAGCAGAUGUUUUUGUCAGGGAAGAAAUAGAUGGCCCAGAGGAGAUGGGAAGACAAGCUCCAGGGCUGGAGAGACGGCCGUACAGAGAGCUCUCAUCACGCCGCGCCGACCAGCCUCUCGCCACCAUUAGCCUGCUUGUCUGGAAGCCAGACUCUACUUAGCGUUUUUUUUUUUUCCUUUCCAAGGAUUCCUCUCUGGCUGCAAGGAGGCUAAAGUUUGGGAACGAAGAAGUAGCCUGCCGACUCCGGCUGGAAACUCUGGCAUGGAAGGGUGGGUGCUCAUGGCUGGGGAAGCUGUUCCUUGUGGCAGAGCUGCCCUAGGGGAAGCAGGUUGAAUGGGCCACGGGAUGUGGUAGACACAAUGCUGGGCUCACCUGUGAUGCUGAGUCCUUUCCUGGAGACGGAGGAGGCCAUGCCUUUGUAGUCCCCCCCCCCCUCAAUGACCCCUGCUCUGCUCUCCUCACCGACACCUAAUAUACUGAACCAACAUCAUUGUGAUCAGUUUGGGGGCGGAAAAAAUAGACUUUUUCCCCCAAUAAAGAUGCAAUUUACUAAUUUAAAAA